rnacentral:rRNA from 1 species
CCUACGGGUGGCUGCAGUAGGGAAUGUUGGUUAAUCUGCGAAAGCGGGAACCAGCAACGCCGCGUGCACGAUGAAGGCCUUCGGGUUGUAAAGUGCUUUUUGAGAGGGUGAGGAAGGACAGUACUCUUAGAAUAAGCUUCGGCUAACUACGUGCCAGCAGCCGCGGUAAAACGUAGGAAGCGAGCGUUAUCCGGAUUUACUGGGCGUAAAGCGUGUGUAGGCGGUUUGACAAGUUGGAUGUGAAAGCUCCUGGCUUAACUGGGAGAGGUCGUUCAAAACUGUCAGACUCGAGAGUGGUAGAGGGAGGUGGAAUUCCGGGUGUAGUGGUGAAAUGCGUAGAUAUCCGGAGGAACACCAGUGGCGAAAGCGGCCUCCUGGCCCAUUUCUGACGCUCAGACACGAAAGCUAAGGUAGCAAACGGGAUUAGAUACCCUAGUAGCC